UACAGAGGUCUCAAGCGUUGUUCGGAUUCAUUGGGCGUAAAGGGUGCGUAGGCGGCGCGGUAAGUCGGGUGUGAAAUCUCGGGGCUUAACUCCGAAACUGCAUUCGAUACUGCCGUGCUUGAGGACUGGAGAUGAGACUGGAAUUUACGGUGUAGCGGUGAAAUGCGUAGAUAUCGUAAGGAAGACCAGUGGCGAAGGCGGGUCUCUGGACAGUUCCUGACGCUGAGGCACGAAGGUCAGGGGGGCAAACGGG
rnacentral:rRNA from 1 species